rnacentral:rRNA from 1 species
CUACGGGUCGCUCCAGUCGCGGAACUUUUACAAUGCACGCAAGUGUGAUAAAGCAAGCCAAAGUGUUUAUCGUUUAGAUAACUUUUCUUUACUGUAAAAAUGUAGGGGAAUAAGGACUGGGAAAGAUCGGUGCCAGCCGCCGCGGUAAUACCGACAGUUCAAGUUGCAUCCCUUUUUAUUGGGUCUAAAACAUCCGUAGCUUGUUACUUAAGUCUCUUGUGAAAUCUCACGUCUCAAGCGUGAUGAAGUGCAGGGGAUACUGGGUAACUAGAGAUCGGUAGACGUAAGGAGUACGCCGGAGGUAGUGGUAAAAUACGUUAAUCUUCGGUGGACUAACAAUGAGCGAAGGCACCUUACGAGGACGAAUCUGACAGUGAGGGAUGAAGGCCAGGGGCGCAAAACGGAUUAGAUACCCCGGUAGUC